rnacentral:rRNA from 1 species
UACGAAGGGGGCUAGCGUUGUUCGGAAUUACUGGGCGUAAAGCGCACGUAGGCGGGUUGUUAAGUCAGGGGUGAAAUCCUGGAGCUCAACUCCAGAACUGCCUUUGAUACUGGCAACCUAGAGACUGGAAGAGGUUAGUGGAAUUCCCAGUGUAGAGGUGAAAUUCGUAGAUAUUGGGAAGAAACACCAGUGGCGAAGGCGGCUAACUGGUCCAGCACUGAGCUGAGGUGCAA